CCUAAUACAUGCAAGUCGAACGCGUUGGCCUAACUGAUUGAACGUGCUUGCACGGACUGACGUGGUUACCAGCGAGUGGCGGACGGGUGAGUAACACGUAGGUAACCUGCCCCAAAGCGGGGGAUAACAUUGGAAACAGAUGCUAAUACCGCAUAACAAUUUGAAUCGCAUGAUUCAAAUUUAAAAGAUGGUUUCGGCUAUCACUUUGGGAUGGACCUGCGGCGCAUUAGCUUGUUGGUAGGGUAACGGCCUACCAAGGCUGUGAUGCGUAGCCGAGUUGAGAGACUGAUCGGCCACAAUGGAACUGAGACACGGUCCAUACUCCUACGGGAGGCAGCAGUAGGGAAUCUUCCACAAUGGGCGCAAGCCUGAUGGAGCAACACCGCGUGAGUGAAGAAGGGUUUUCCGGCUCGUAAAGCUCUGUUGUUAGAGAAGAACGUGCGUGAGAGCAACUGUUCACGCAGUGACGGUAUCUAACCAGAAAGUCACGGCUAACUACGUGCCAGCCGCUGC
rnacentral:rRNA from 1 species